GCUUCUGUUAGAACAGCUUGCUUGCUUGCAUUUCUAGGAUACGGUUUCUGUCUAUAUAAGGCACCAGCGCACACAGGUGGGGGCUGCUUGCUGAACUCUCUGCGCGGAGUGAGAGGCAGCAGCCGCCUGCUAGCUGGCUAAUAAAAGGCUCUUUAAACUCUGUUUGGCUGUCUCGUACUUUAACUCGUGGGCACCGUAACAUUUGGAGGCCCCAGUGAGAUUUAUCUCAGCGUUUGCUGAGGCUCAUAAGUCGAGACAAAGGUCUGACUACCGGCCCUCCCCCAGGGGGCGUGUACUGAGAGACGUUCCUCAGCCCCGGCGGAGAACUGAGUGGUCAAGCCUCAAAAUUCAAAAAUCUGCCUCUGGAGCCAUCUGGAUGUGGGCCCACAACGCCCACAUGGGACAACUGUCAACAACUUCUGCAAAGCCUUUUCACGUCAGAAGAGAGAGAAAAUCCGUGCCCAAGAAUGGAAACUAGUCGUGGGGCCAGACGGUCUGCCAACCAGGGAAGUAGACCGCCUUGAAGCUGUUUUUUCCCUUCACCCCACCCCGGUGGGACCCUAACACUAAUCAAGGUAAGGAGGCUCUCAAACGGUACCGCCUGACUCUAAUGGGGGCUCUCCGUGCAGCAGCGUGGAGGCCUACAAAUAUGUCCAAAGUAGCUAAGGUAAUUCAGAGGACCAGAGUCCCCUGCCGCUUUUCUAGAGCGCCUCCAGGAAGCUUACCGGUUAUAUACCCCUGUAGAUCCGGAGGCGCCAGAAAACAGGCGAGCAAUUAAUAUUGGUUUUGUCACCCAGUCAGCCCCCAAAAUAAGGAAAAAGUUACAAAAGUUAGAAGGCUUUGAAGGAAAAGUACUAAGCGAGUUGGUGGGGGUUGCUCAACAAGUCUUCAAUAAUAAGAAAUAGUUCCAAAAACUUAAACAAAAAUGGCAAAGGUCCUACUUGCCAUAAGUGAAAACCAGGCGUGGAAUAAAAAACAAGAAAGAAACCAGAAAUUCAAAGAAAAGUCGGGAGGAGGUAAUAGAUUGUCCAGUGGAAAAAGAAGGACGAAGAGGGCCCCCUCUAGGCCAAAAUCAAUGCGUGUUCUGUAAGGAGGAGGGAGCCUUUCAGACUCUAAAAAAGGCACUCACUCAGGCCCCAGCCUUAACACUCCCAAAUCUCAAAAAGCCAUUCCAGCUGCAUGUAGCCGAGGCACAAAGGGCAGCAAAAGGAGUGUUAACACAGCGCUUGGAGCCAUGAAGAUGGGUCGGGUCGUAGCCUGUCUUUCAAAGCGCCUCAAUCCGGUUGUGGCAGGCUGGCCUAACUGUCUACACAGACAGUCGGUAUGCGUUUGCCACCGCACAUGUGCAUGAAACCAUCUACCAAGAACGUGGUCUCCUAACCUCUAAAAAAAAAAAAAAAAAAAAAAAAA